CAGUAGCCGCGGGAAUACGUAGGGUGCGAGCGUUGUCCGGAAUUACUGGGCGUGAAGAGCUCGUAGGCGGUUUGUCACGUCGUCUGUGAAAUCCUAGGGCUUAACCCUGGACGUGCAGGCGAUACGGGCUGACUUGAGUACUACAGGGGAGACUGGAAUUUCUGGUGUAGCGGUGGAAUGCACAGAUAUCAGGAAGAACACCGAUGGCGAAGGCAGGUCUCUGGGUAGUAACUGACGCUGAGGAGCGAAAGCAUGGGUAGCGAACAGGAUUAGAUACCCCGUGUCCCUGUCUUUAUACACA
rnacentral:rRNA from 1 species